rnacentral:rRNA from 1 species
UGGGGAAUUUUGGGCAAUGGGCGAAAGCCUGAUCCAGCAAUGCCGCGUGUGUGAAGAAGGCCUUCGGGUUGUAAAGCACUUUUGUCCGGAAAGAAAUCCUUGGCUCUAAUACAGUCGGGGGAUGACGGUACCGGAAGAAUAAGCACCGGCUAACUACGUGCCAGCAGCCGCGGUAAUACGUAGGGUGCAAGCGUUAAUCGGAAUUACUGGGCGUAAAGCGUGCGCAGGCGGUUUGCUAAGACCGAUGUGAAAUCCCCGGGCUCAACCUGGGAACUGCAUUGGUGACUGGCAGGCUAGAGUAUGGCAGAGGGGGGUAGAAUUCCACGUGUAGCAGUGAAAUGCGUAGAGAUGUGGAGGAAUACCGAUGGCGAAGGCAGCCCCCUGGGCCAAUACUGACGCUCAUGCACGAAAGCGUGGGGAGCAAACAGGAUUAGAUACCCUGGUAGUCCACGCCCUAAACGAUGUCAACUAGUUGUUGGGGAUUCAUUUCCUUAGUAACGUAGCUAACGCGUGAAGUUGACCGCCUGGGGAGUACGGUCGCAAGAUUAAAACUCAAAUGAAUUGACGGGGUCAUAGCUGUUUCCU